AAGUCGUAACAAGGUUUCCGUAGGUGAACCUGCGGAAGGAUCAUUAAUAAAAUAAAAUGAUAAUUUUUUGGGGUUUUCCCUGAAAAAUAAUUCACCACUUGUGCACUGUUAUUAGAUAUACUUUGGUUAGAGCUUUGAUUUCAUUUUUUUGAAAUCAACUUCUUGCUGACUCUAUCCUUUCUGAGGACAGUUGGCUAUGAAGCGGCCUACCAAGGUUUUUUAUCAAACACAUUUAAUCCAUCUGACCUAAAUCAAUAAUAAAAUCAUAACUUUCAACAACGGAUCUCUUGGCUCUC
rnacentral:misc_RNA from 1 species